GGGAUGAAGGCUGGACUCUCCCAGCUUCCCCUCCUGCCCAGAGAGUUGGGGUUUCUGUGACUCCCACCCUCCCAGUGUAAACAGCUUUCCCCAUGUUCCAUCCCUGCCUCUGCCAGGCACAGCAACCACAUAACCAUGGCAACAGUAUCCCUAUAACAGCCAGGUACAUCUGACAUCCCCAUGGCAACCAGCUCCCGGAACAGCCGAUGAAGAGCUUUGCUUCCUCAGCGCUGGAGAGGGAUGGGAGGGAUUCGAGCCAUCCCCGCUCAGGUGGUGGCAGGGACCUGGGGACAGACACGGCUGGCUAGAGUUUUUGGCUCGUGCGUGGGGCAGCAUAAGUCUCUACAGCCUCUGUCCUGACAGGGUAGGAUCUGUGAGUCCUGCAAGCUCCUUCUGUUAGGACAAAGAAGCCAAGUGUUUCUAUCCCCAAAGCUGACAUCUACGGCCCACAGAGGGGUGAUGCUGAAGGAGCAGCCUUGGCACAUCCUGGCUGGUGAGCAGAGGAAGGGCUGGGAUUGCAAGGACAAAGUCUACGAGCACGAAAUGCAGCUGCACUUGCUGUCAACUGCUAAAACACAAGGCUCUGCAUUUUGAAGAGGAAUGUUUUUGGCUAAAAUUAAAUGGGCUUGGAACAAGUGCAAUCCAGAGGCUCCUGGCUCAGCAGGAAGGGAGUUUUCAGGCAAAUCACAAGAGAAAAAUUAACAUUUGAGGAGGGUGAAGUCUGUGCAGAAUCUCCCUGAGCCGCAGCCGUGCACAGCACAGGAGGAUCCACUUCAAAGGGAGGAGCCACUUCAUUAAAAAAGAGAACUAGGGCUUUUGAUAUCAAGAUAAACAUCCUGAUACACAUCAAAGCAGCUUCCUCUCCUUGUCCUUAGACACCCUCUCCUGCUUCACUUAAGUUCUGGAUUUUGGAACUAUACCUCUGCCUAAUCCAUGCUGUGCUGCAUCCCAUCUGCAUGGUUGUUUGGUGGGGGAGAUUCCGGGUGCUGUUUUGUGGUGUGUGAGACCUUCAGGUCAUGUCCAUGAGCCUGAACACUCUGUCAUUGCCUUCUGUUCCACAUAUGAAGAACUAAGAGCUGCUGAUGAAAGUUAUUCUAUUUCCAUUGAAAAACAUCAUGUUUUCAAAAGAAAGUGCAAUAGAGAAGGGGCCAAAGGCCAGCUGGGUUGCCUGAGAACCCAGUGGCAUCCAUCCCUCCGGACACCCUCCCCGAGUGGCUGCAGACCCAUCUCUGGCAGCAGGUUGGGCA